GACCUCAAAUCGGGUGAGACUACCCGCUGAACUUAAGCAUAUCAAUAA
rnacentral:rRNA from 1 species